AGAUUAAGCCAUGCAAGUGUAAGUUCAGGUAACGAAACUGCGAAUAGCUCAUUAACACACUUAUAAUCUACUUGGAAAUAAUAUUUUUCAUCAAUAUUUUAAAAGGAUAGCAGGAGUAAUUCUCGUGCUAAUACUUUAAAAUUUAUUUAAUUUAUUUUAAUUCAUCGGAAAUUAAAUACGAUGAUUUUUACGACCUUUUUUUUUCAAGGUAAUCCAAUCGAAUGAGUGACCUAUCAAGCCAGUACGUAGGGUCUUUACCUACGUAAGCUAUCACGGGUAACGGGUGGUUAUCGUCAUACUUCCGGAGAAGGCGCCUGAGAGAUAGCGACUAUAUCCACGGGUAGCAGCAGGCGCGAAACUUACCCACUCGAAAUAUUCGGAGGUGGUAAUGACCAGUUAUAAAUAUUUUUUUUAAUAUAAAGAAUAUUAUAUAGGAAUAUAAUUUUCCAUUAUAUUGUAACCUAGCAGAGGGCCAGUCUGGUGCCAGCAGCUGCGGUAAUUCCAGCUCUGCAAGUUUGCUCCCAUAUUGUUGCAGUUAAAACGCUCGUAGUCUGAAUUCAUUCUAUUUUUUAAUAAAUAGAAUUUUAGUUUUAAAUUUAAAUUAAAACGUUCACUGUGAACAAAUCAGAACGCUUAAAGUAAGGAAUUGAAUACUUGAAUGACUUUGCGCAGUAUGAAAUUUUUACUAUUAACUUAAGCAAUUAAAUUAAUAGUAAGCUCAAGGAGAAUAAUCGGGGGUAGAUCUAUUUCAUGGCGAACGGCGAAAUGUUUUGACCCAUGAGAGAGAAACUAAGGCUAAGGCAUCUACCAAGUGUAAUUCUAUCGAUCAAGGGCGAUAGUAGGAAUAUCAAACCGGAUCAGAGACCCGGGUAGUUCCUACCAUAAACUAUGCCGACAAUAGCUUAUUAACAUACAAAGUAGUUAGUAGGAUAAUUAGAGAAAUCAUAGUUCAUGGGCUCUGGGGGAACUACGACCGCAAGGCUGAAACUUGAAGGAAUUGACGGAAGGGCACACCAGGGGUGGAGCUUGUGGCUUAAUUUGAAUCAACACGGGAAAACUUACCAGUACCAGAUAUUUCUUAAGACUGAUCAGGAUAAAGUUCUUUCAGGAUAUAAUUUUUGGUGGUGCAUGGCCGUUGGUGGUGCGUGGGUUGACCUGUCUAGCGUUGAUUCAGAUAACGAGCGAGAUUAUCACCAAUUAAAUUAAAAUUUAUUAAUUUUAUAUUAAUAAAAUUUUUUUUAAUAAUUGGGACUCCCUGUGUCUAAGCAGGCAGAAGAGGGUAGCAAUAACAGGUCCGUGAUGUCCUUUAGAUGCACUGGGCUGCACGCGCGCUACAAUGUUAUAAACAAAGAGUUUCAAAUUUUCAAAUUUAGCUAAAUUGAAAAAUUAAUUAUUUUUAGCUACUCUGUUAAAUUUUAACGUAGUUGGGAUUGAAUAUUGUAAUCAUAUUCAUUAACCAGGAAUCCCUUGUAAAAGUGUAUCAACAAUGCACGUUGAGUACGUCCCUGCCCUUUGUACACACCGCCCGUCGCUCCUACCGAUUGGAUGACUCGGUGAAAUUAUUGGCUCUUUAAUUUUUUUAAAUUAAGGAAAAGGUUAUUAAAUCACGUUAUCUAGAGGAAGGA
rnacentral:rRNA from 1 species